rnacentral:rRNA from 1 species
AUCUAUGGCCAUGCCACCCUGAACAAGCCCGAUCCCAUCUGACCUUAGAAGCUAAGCAGGGUCAGGCCUGGUUAGUACUUGCAUGGGAGACCACCUAGGAAGACCAGGUGCUGUAGGUG